UUCAUUUGACUUCAUCAGUGGCGUCAUUUAUCCGAUAAUUAGGCUGUUGAUUUCGGGAACAAGCAAGUUGAAAAUCGCCGUUUACGCAAAGCCUAUCGAAUCAUGACCAUCGUGACCAACACAAGCACGAGUCGACGAAGGGACCUUCGCUGUUGCGGCACCUCGCUGCUCAGUGCGAUAUAGGCGCGCGGAGAUGCUACCAGCACGGACUCAGCUGCAAAUUUAGAGGCGGGCACAUGUUUUUUCCUACAUUCGGUGGAAUUCGACGUUUGCAUUUGACAGUGCAAACUAUUAUUUUUUCCCUAUCGUGGAUGGUUCAACGUUUACGAUAUUUUUGAGGAAAAUAAAUAAUCAUGAGUUGUUUGAACCAGGGAGGGCAUGAUGCGGUUCGCCGCGCGGACAACGGAGCGGGUGGAAUCCUCAGCAGCGGCGGCAUCAGUGUCCCUUCGAGGCAGCCCAUUCACAGGGACCCUCGCUACUACCAGCAACACGCGCGUCACCAUGGAACCUCCAUGGAGAAACAACCACCGCGCAACGACCCCUCGGAUCUAGUCAAACGCGCGCUCGACUUCAAGACUCAAGCCACACAGUGCUACAAGGAUAAGAAAUACCGGGAAGCUAUUGGGAAGUAUCACCGCGCGCUACUGGAGAUGAAAGGUCUGUGCCGAGUUCUCGGGGACCCUGACAUGGGCUCUAAAUCACCGACCACCGUGCUCUCCACCACAACAAGCAAGGAGUCUCUGACAGACGAACAGAAAGGCGCCGUGGAAAACGCAGAGCUUGAAUGUUACAAUAGUCUGGCAGCAUGCCUUUUGCAGAUGGAGCUGGUGAACUACGAGAGGGUAAAGGAGUACUGCUUGAAGGUUCUGCGGAAAGAAGGGGAGAACUUCAAAGCGCUCUAUCGCUCAGGAGUUGCCUAUUACCACCUGGGGGACUUCAACAAGGCGCUCUUUUACCUGAAGGAAUCCCACAAACAACAGCCUUCAGACACCAACGUGAUUCGCUACAUCCAGCUGACGGAGAUGAAGAUACGACGCAAUGCCCAGAGAGAGAAGACGGAUGACUCAUAAAACAAACAGACGAAAACAUCAAAAGGGGGCAUACCUGUAAUGUUGCUGUAUCUGCACUGUGUACUCUCAUAUCACCUUGAAAAACAAAAACAUUAACCACUGCCCCUGAGGUUGAUGCAGUCACCAGCAUCAUUCUAAGACCCUGGAAUUCAAAGAACCACCUUCAGUGAACCGUGUGUGGGAAAGAGAAAGGACUUUUGGUCAAGUUCAUGUGUGCCAUGCUCCACAACAUACCUUGAUCUCAUGGAUGCAUGAUGUUUCGGAUUCUUCUGGUGGUGUGAACUGAAGUGAACGAGCUCAGCUGUAGACGGCACCCAUAAUGGACCAUAACAAAAAAAAAAAAUCAACCAUCAUCAUGUAUGGACUUGCUCUUUUUUUAUCUCAAGCACAUCAAGUUGUUUUCCCCCCCAAGGCUCUCUUUGUCCUCCCCCCCUCCCUCCCUCCAUCGGGAAGGGGAAGUGCACAGAUGUGCUAGCUGUCUGAUCGUCCAGCUGAUAAUGGUGGUGUGUUUGCUAAGCUUCGUUGCACAUGCCUACUUACUUACACUGCCUCUCUCCCUCCAAAAAUGUCCUUUAAGCACUAUUGAAAAAAGCAUGUAAUCUGAGCAAGCAAGCACCAUGAGAAACAAUGUCCUCUUACUGUGAUAUCUGUGUAUGUUGAUGAAAUUAAAAGUCUGUUGAUUGUUAUCAAAA